UCAUCACUUCCUCAAAACUUCUUUGAGUCACAUACUAUAAGUAGGUUUGCUCUUCCUGUACCUGCAGUGAUACUGGCUUUAAACGGGCUCGGAACCCUUCCCUGCUGCACGCAGGCUGCGCUGGCAUACCUGGCAGAGGAACAGCAGACAAAAGCCUCUGAGCCUGGGACUAACCACGGCCUCUGAUCUCAGCGGGAGCUCCAGCACGGAGACCUGGGCUCGGAACCCUUCCCUGCUGCACGCAGGCUGCGCUGGCAUACCUGGCAGAGGAACAGCAGACAAAAGCCUCUGAGCCUGGGACUAACCACGGCCUCUGAUCUCAGUGGGAGCGCCAGCACGGAGA